UACGUAGGUGACCAGCGUUGUUCGGAAUUACUGGGCGUAAAGGGCGCGUAGGCGGCCUGCUAAGUCGGAUGUGAAAUCCCUCGGCUCAACCGAGGAACUGCAUCCGAUACUGGCGGGCUUGAAUCCGGGAGAGGGAUGUGGAAUUCCAGGUGUAGCGGUGAAAUGCGUAGAUAUCUGGAGGAACACCGGUGGCGAAGGCGGCAUCCUGGACCGGUAUUGACGCUGAGGCGCGAAAGCUAGGGGAGCAAACGGG
rnacentral:rRNA from 1 species